GCUUUCAACAUCCCCGUUCCAGAUCGAGCGGAGUGCGCGCCGAGCGCGCUGCCUCGUAUUUGGAGCUGAAGGC
rnacentral:sRNA from 1 species